rnacentral:rRNA from 1 species
AAACCAGCACCUCAAGUGGUCAGGAUGAUUAUUGGGCCUAAAGCAUCCGUAGCCUGCUCUGUAAGUUUUCGGUUAAAUCUGUGCGCUCAACGUACAGGCUGCCGGGAAUACUGCAGAGCUAGGGAGUGGGAGAGGUAGACGGUACUCGGGAGGAAGUGGUAAAAUGCUUUGAUCUCUCGAUGACCACCUGUGGCGAAGGCGGUCUACCAGAACACGUCCGACGGUGAGGGAUGAAAGCUGGGGGAGCAAACCGGAUUAGAAACCCCAGUAGUCC